rnacentral:rRNA from 1 species
ACGCUCGACACCUACGGGAGCAGCAGUGGGGAAUAUUGCACAAUGGGGGAAACCCUGAUGCAGCGACGCCGCGUGAGCGAAGAAGUAUUUCGGUAUGUAAAGCUCUAUCAGCAGGGAAGAAGAAAGACGGUACCUGACUAAGAAGCCCCGGCUAACUACGUGCCAGCACGCCGACGGUAAUCGUGGACGGCGGGUCGUGGACGAAGGC